UCUUCAUCCGCGCAAGUGAAACACCUCUACCCACCUCGAAAGUGAAUCAAAGACCUUCCACCGCACUCGUCUUUUCGCCUCACAUCGACCAGAUGAUAAUCCCGCCCUCUUCCUGGCUCGAUUACGUCGCUAAUCUCGAUCGGCCUCCCGCACCUGCUCGACGACGUAGACUUUUCCCUCGAGCCGGUCGCGAUCCUCAGCGUCAGGAUCACAAAGCGGACAUGGUCCCCGCCCUGGACUGGCCGCAAUCUCUGUCGGGGUGCGAAGUGCUCGAGAGGCAAGCGCCGAUCAACAGCGUUCGGAAAACUUUGCAUAUAAUGUACCUACUCACCGAACCAACGACUCACUGCUGGUAUGACGGGCUCCAAUUCUCUCGGGGCUACGGUCGGUAGACCUUAAAGCAAGGUGACGCAGAGGUGGGUCAUACCUGCUUGCUUCUACGGCCCAGCAGCCAGCCUGCAGGAUUUCUGACACCCGUUACUCGGAUUGGCACCCGGGCUAGGACACCGUGUGCAUUUCGAGGAUGGGUUACGAGAGCAGCUUCGCUUGAAAGCUAGUAUCGAGGAACAGGAAAG
rnacentral:misc_RNA from 1 species